AAAUUGAAGAGUUUGAUCAUGGCUCAGAUUGAACGCUGGCGGCAGGCCUAACACAUGCAAGUCGAGCGGAAACGAGUUAUCAAAGCCUUCGGGUGGCGAUAACGGCGUCGAGCGGCGGACGGGUGAGUAAUGCCUAGGAAAUUGCCCUGAUGUGGGGGAUAACCAUUGGAAACGAUGGCUAAUACCGCAUGAUGCCUACGGGCCAAAGAGGGGGACCUUCGGGCCUCUCGCGUCAGGAUAUGCCUAGGUGGGAUUAGCUAGUUGGUGAGGUAAGGGCUCACCAAGGCGACGAUCCCUAGCUGGUCUGAGAGGAUGAUCAGCCACACUGGAACUGAGACACGGUCCAGACUCCUACGGGAGGCAGCAGUGGGGAAUAUUGCACAAUGGGCGCAAGCCUGAUGCAGCCAUGCCGCGUGUGUGAAGAAGGCCUUCGGGUUGUAAAGCACUUUCAGUCGUGAGGAAGGUGGUGUAGUUAAUAGCUGCAUC
rnacentral:rRNA from 1 species